UACGUAGGGUGCGAGCGUUGUCCGGAAUUAUUGGGCGUAAAGCGUCCGCAGGUGGCUGUUCAAGUCUGCUGUCAAAGCGCAGAGCUUAACUCUGUACAGGCGGUGGAAACUGAAGAGCUAGAGUAUGGUAGGGGUAGAGGGAAUUCCCGGUGUAGCGGUGAAAUGCGUAGAUAUCGGGAAGAACACCAGUGGCGAAAGCGCUCUACUGGGCCAUAACUGACACUGAGGGACGAAAGCUAGGGGAGCGAAAGGG
rnacentral:rRNA from 1 species